AUGAACGCUAGCGACAGGCUUAACACAUGCAAGUCGAGGGGCAGCGGGGGUAGCAAUACCCGCCGGCGACCGGCGCACGGGUGAGUAACGCGUAUGCAACUUGCCUAUCAGAGGGGGAUAACCCGGCGAAAGUCGGACUAAUACCGCAUAAAGCAGGGGCCCCGCAUGGGGAUAUUUGCUAAAGAUUCAUCGCUGAUAGAUAGGCAUGCGUUCCAUUAGGCAGUUGGCGGGGUAACGGCCCACCAAACCGACGAUGGAUAGGGGUUCUGAGAGGAAGGUCCCCCACAUUGGUACUGAGACACGGACCAAACUCCUACGGGAGGCAGCAGUGAGGAAUAUUGGUCAAUGGGCGUAAGCCUGAACCAGCCAAGUCGCGUGAGGGAUGAAGGUUCUAUGGAUCGUAAACCUCUUUUAUAAGGGAAUAAAGUGCGGGACGUGUCCCGUUUUGUAUGUACCUUAUGAAUAAGGAUCGGCUAACUCCGUGCCAGCAGCCGCGGUAAUACGGAGGAUCCGAGCGUUAUCCGGAUUUAUUGGGUUUAAAGGGUGCGUAGGCGGCCUUUUAAGUCAGCGGUGAAAGUCUGUGGCUCAACCAUAGAAUUGCCGUUGAAACUGGGGGGCUUGAGUAUGUUUGAGGCAGGCGGAAUGCGUGGUGUAGCGGUGAAAUGCUUAGAUAUCACGCAGAACCCCGAUUGCGAAGGCAGCCUGCUAAGCUGCAACUGACAUUGAGGCUCGAAAGUGUGGGUAUCAAACAGGAUUAGAUACCCUGGUAGUCCACGCAGUAAACGAUGAUCACUAGCUGUUUGCGAUACAGUGUAAGCGGCACAGCGAAAGCGUUAAGUGAUCCACCUGGGGAGUACGCCGGCAACGGUGAAACUCAAAGGAAUUGACGGGGGCCCGCACAAGCGGAGGAACAUGUGGUUUAAUUCGAUGAUACGCGAGGAACCUUACCCGGGUUUGAACGCAUUCGGACCGAGGUGGAAACACCUUUUCUAGCAAUAGCCGUUUGCGAGGUGCUGCAUGGUUGUCGUCAGCUCGUGCCGUGAGGUGUCGGCUUAAGUGCCAUAACGAGCGCAACCCUUGCCACUAGUUACUAACAGGUAAAGCUGAGGACUCUGGUGGGACUGCCAGCGUAAGCUGCGAGGAAGGCGGGGAUGACGUCAAAUCAGCACGGCCCUUACAUCCGGGGCGACACACGUGUUACAAUGGCGUGGACAAAGGGAAGCCACCUGGCGACAGGGAGCGAAUCCCCAAACCACGUCUCAGUUCGGAUCGGAGUCUGCAACCCGACUCCGUGAAGCUGGAUUCGCUAGUAAUCGCGCAUCAGCCAUGGCGCGGUGAAUACGUUCCCGGGCCUUGUACACACCGCCCGUCAAGCCAUGGGAGCCGGGGGUACCUGAAGUCCGUAACCGCGAGGAUCGGCCUAGGGUAAAACUGGUGACUGGGGCU
rnacentral:rRNA from 1 species